UAUUCACACCCAUGAAUGGCUUGCCUGCUCCAGAGAAGGCAAGGGAAACAAUAAGGUUUCCUGGGAAGCACUUCUGGAGAGCUCAGCUUAAUCAGUAGCAACCUGAGAAAAAUGGAAACAGGGGCAAGAUGCUGAAACAAUUGUGCAUAGCCUUUGGGAGAAGGAGUGUUUCCUUAUUCCUGUAAUGCUCAGAGCUUUCUGGGAACCGGGAACUGAAACUGGAUGAGGUGGCAAGAACAGGAUGACUGACAUCAGCUUGCAUUGGACCAAAGUGGCUUCCUGCAAAAUAUGUUAAACUUGACUAUGAGUUGCACAAACACGAUGCAGGACCUAAUGCCAGAGACACAGCACCUGUCCCUGCAGCUGAGGGCAACAAAGAAACAGAAGAGACCAAAGGAAGAGGCCAGUGAUGUUAUGUGGGAGCAGCUAAAGAAGUUACAACAAAAUGCAAGAACUAUGACAGCAGCAGCAGGUCUCUCACUCCAAUUAACACUUUCUUAGCCUAUUUGGCUAUCACCUCCUGCAACAGAGCAGUAACAAGGACACACACUGGGUAGGUGGUACAUGGAUACCACUAGAAGUUCAAUUGCUGGAAAACAAGGAUUGGAUUAAAUGUAAUUUAAUGCAA